rnacentral:rRNA from 1 species
CAUUACCGAGUGAGGGCCCUCUGGGUCCAACCUCCCACCCAUGUUUAUUGUACCUUGUUGCUUCGGCGGGCCCGCCUCACGGCCGCCGGGGGGCUUCUGCCCUCUGGCCCGCGCCCGCCGAAGACACCAUUGAACACUGUCUGAAGAUUGCAGUCUGAGCAAUUAGCUAAAUAAGUUAAAACUUUCAACAACGGAUCUCUUGGUUCCGGCAUCGAUGAAGAACGCAGCGAAAUGCGAUACGUAAUGUGAAUUGCAGAAUUCAGUGAAUCAUCGAGUCUUUGAACGCACAUUGCGCCCCUUGGUAUUCCGGGGGGCAUGCCUGUCCGAGCGUCAUUGCUGCCCUCAAGCACGGCUUGUGUGUUGGGCCCCGUCCUCCUUCCCGGGGGACGGGCCCGAAAGGCAGCGGCGGCACCGCGUCCGGUCCUCGAGCGUAUGGGGCUUUGUCACCCGCUCUUGUAGGCCCGGCCGGCGCUUGCCGACAACCAUCAAUCUUUUUUCAGGUUGACCUCGGAUCAGGUAGGGAUACCCGCUGAACUUAAGCAUAUCAAUAAGCGGAGGAGAAGAAACCAACAGGGAUUGCCUCAGUAACGGCGAGUGAAGCGGCAAGAGCUCAAAUUUGAAAGCUGGCCCCCUCGGGGUCCGCAUUGUAAUUUGCAGAGGAUGCUUCGGGAGUGGCCCCCAUCUAAGUGCUCUGGAACGGGCCGUCAU